rnacentral:rRNA from 1 species
UACGUAGGGUGCAGGCGUUAAUCGGAAUUACUGGGCGUAAAGCGUGCGCAGGCGGUUUGUUAAGACAGAUGUGAAAUCCCCGGGCUUAACCUGGGAACUGCGUUUGUAACUGGCAAGCUAGGGUGUGGCAGAGGGGGGUGGAAUUCCAAGUGUAGCAGUGAAAUGCGUAGAUAUUUGGAGGAACACCAAUGGCGAAGGCAGCCCCCUGGGUUAACACUGACGCUCAUGCACGAAAGCGUGGGGAGCAAACAGG